rnacentral:rRNA from 1 species
UCUUCGGAUCGUAAACUCCUGUCGAGCGGGACGAAUGGCCCGGGACUCAACACGUCUCGGGAGUGACGGUACCGCUAAAGGAAGCCCCGGCUAACUCCGUGC